UCACUGAUUCCAGGAGAUAGUGAAGGAUGGGGAAGCCUGGUGUGCUGCAGUUUAUGGGGUCACAAAGAGUCGGAUGCAACUUAAUGACUGAACAAUAACAACAUAUAGACUUACUAUUGACUGGGAAGGCUUCUGUGUUGGGGAGUUGGGGUGCAAGGUUAACACUGUGGAUCACUGAGCCUGAGGAUGGUGAUCAGAUUUUAGAGCCAGAAUAUCUGAGUCUGACUUCCAACUCCACAAAAUAACAACUAUAUGACCUUAAACAGGACACACCUCUGAUCAAGCAUCAAUUCUUUCUUCUCUAUUGAUUGAGGUUGAAAUAAAUGCCCUUUCACCUGUUCAGAGGGUUCUCACAACCUCAAAAUGAGGUUGUUGGGAAGGAGCAAAUUAGCCAAAGCGGCAGUGGUUAGGCUCUCUCGCCCCAUGCCCUCUCGCUCUCCCCCCAUGUCUUGUAAGUAAUGAUUUUGUAGCAGCUGAGCUCACUUAUAGCACCGCACAUACACCUCACGAGCUACGUGCUUGGCCAUGGGCUACUUCUGUUCUGUGAGCAUACGUAAGCUCCACCUGGAAAGCCCUUGAGGGCAUGUUGGGCUGUGUGGUGUUAUGUUAUGUCUGCUGCUGCCAUGUGGGAACCAAAAAAGGUUGAGUCUGCUUCUUGGGUGCACUUUGAUAAUUUAAAAGGUCUGGAUAUGUCCCAGGGCCAGAGUCUGCCCACCCAUGCCUUAUGCCACAGCCUCCUUCCUCCAGGAGCACGCCUGUUUCUCUGUGUGUGAGGAGGUGUCUGCUGUAGUAAGGGGUGUUGCUGCUGCUGUUUUCACAGGGAACAUUCAAGAGCUGAUGGGCUUCCUGGAUCCCAUAUCCCAAAUAAUUAAGUCAACAUGGUUAUCCACCAUUCCUGAUUCAGAUCCUGAAGUUGGGACUCACAGCUCACAUCCAGGAAAUCCUGGAGCAAAAAGUCAGUAACCACCUGAGUAAUAACGCUCUUGAUCUCAUCUGAAAGCACGCCUACUUGUUUCAAUCUCCGAAUAAAAUCACAAA
ensembl:lncRNA